rnacentral:rRNA from 1 species
GUGUCAGCAGCCGCGGUAAUACAGAGGUCCCAAGCGUUGUUCGGAUUCACUGGGCGUAAAGGGUGCGUAGGUGGUUAGGUAAGUCCGAUGUGAAAUCUCCAGGCUCAACCUGGAAAUGGCAUUGGAUACUAUUUAGCUUGAGGAGUGGAGGGGGGACUGGAAUUCUCGGUGUAGCAGUGAAAUGCGUAGAUAUCGAGAGGAACACCAGUGGCGAAGGCGAGUCCCUGGACACUUCCUGACACUGAGGCACGAAAGCUAGGGGAGCAAACAGGAUUAGAUACCCUGGUAGUCC